UACCCUACAAUCUUUACAUUAACUGAUUUCUGUCCCCAUCCCCACUUUGGAUGAUCAUAACUUUCAGAAAAAUGGAUAUUUUUUAAUGAAAUUGUCUUCGAAUAUGUGUUACAUCAUGUAGAUUCCAAAUAUGCAAAAUUUUUUUAGGAGGGUAAAGUGUUUUAGGAGGUGUUGGGGUGGGGAAUUUCGGAAACUUCACCGGAGUCCACUUCAAUUCGUCUUAAUUUUCAAGAAAAUGGAUAUUUUUUAAUGAAAUUCUCUACAAAUAUACCUUGGACUAUGUAGAUUUCGAUAACAGGAAUUUUUGGGGAAAACAAUUGGGGGCUAGUUUUGAGAAAUGUUCCCCACUCGCAGGUGUUUCUCAACAAGUUGUCCAUAUUUGUUUCAUUUUCUCUGUCUUGUGCGUUUGUGCAUCUGUAGAUUUCUACUGAAGCAACAAACAGGCAAUGAAGCCCUCACCAGAAAACUAGUUAUGUUAAAAAUAACAGCUAACGGUCUGGUACACAGAGACAUGUUAUUAAGACGACUUAUCUGUUGCAUAUGAUUUUUUUUUGCUUUAAGUAAAUUC